rnacentral:rRNA from 1 species
CNGCCCGNAAUAGCCAGCAUGNUCUAGUACAUGCCGUAUUAAGGCGAAACCGCGAAUGGCUCAUUAAAUCAGUUAUGGUUCCUUGGAUCGUACUUUACUACUUGGAUAACUGUGGCAAUUCUAGAGCUAAUACAUGCAGCAGAGCUCCGACCUUCGGGGACGAGCGCUUUUAUUAGACCAAAACCAAUCGGACCUCGUGUCCGUCUCUUGUGGUGACUCUGUAUAACUUUGGGCUGAUCGCACGGGCCCGUCCCGGCGACGUAUCUUUCAAGUGUCUGCCUUAUCAACUUUCGAUGGUAGGUUACGCGCCUACCAUGGUCAUAACGGGUAACGGGGAAUCAGGGUUCGAUUCCGGAGAGGGAGCCUGAGAAACGGCUACCACAUCCAAGGAAGGCAGCAGGCGCGCAAAUUACCCACUCCCAGAACGGGGAGGUAGUGACGAAAAAUAACAAUACGGGACUCUUUUGAGACCCCGUAAUUGGAAUGAGUACACUCUAAAUCCUUUAACGAGGAUCCAUUCGAGGGCAAGUCUGGUGCCAGCCGCCGCGGUAAUUCCAGCUCGAAUAGCGUAUAUUAAAGUUGUUGCGGUUAAAAAGCUCGUAGUUGGAUCUCAGUUCCAGACGGGUGGUCCGCCAAACGGUGGUUACUGCCCGUUCUGAACAGCCAGCCGGUUUCUCUUGAUGAUCUUCACCGGUUGUCUCGGGUGACCGGCAAGUUUACUUUGAAAAAAUUAGAGUGCUCAAAGCAGGCGCGACGCCUGAAUAAUGGUGCAUGGAAUAAUGGAAUAGGACCUCGGUUCUAUUUUGUUGGUUUUCGGAACACGAGGUAAUGAUUAAGAGGGACAGACGGGGGCAUUCGUAUUGCGACGCUAGAGGUGAAAUUCUUGGACCGUCGCAAGACGAACUAUGCAAGANUUUUUUUUNCNGGANANAA